rnacentral:rRNA from 1 species
GAGUUUGAUCCUGGCUCAGAUUGAACGCUGGCGGCAUGCCUAACACAUGCAAGUCGAACGGUAACGACGGGAGCUUGCUCCCUGGCGACGAGUGGCGGACGGGUGAGUAAUACUUAGGAAUCUGCCCAGUAGUGGGGGACAACUCGAGGAAACUCGAGCUAAUACCGCAUACGCCCUACGGGGGAAAGCGGGGGAUCUUCGGACCUCGCGCUAUUGGAUGAGCCUAAGUCGGAUUAGCUUGUUGGUGGGGUAAAGGCCUACCAAGGCGACGAUCCGUAGCUGGUCUGAGAGGACGAUCAGCCACACUGGGACUGAGACACGGCCCAGACUCCUACGGGAGGCAGCAGUGGGGAAUAUUGGACAAUGGGGGCAACCCUGAUCCAGCAAUGCCGCGUGUGUGAAGAAGGCCUGCGGGUUGUAAAGCACUUUCAGUAGAGAAGAAAAGCUCGAGGUUAAUACCUCUGAGUCUUGACGUAACCUACAGAAGAAGCACCGGCUAACUCCGUGCCAGCAGCCGCGGUAAUACGGAGGGUGCGAGCGUUAUUCGGAAUUACUGGGCGUAAAGCGCGCGUAGGCGGCCUGAUCAGUCGGAUGUGAAAGCCCUGGGCUUAACCUGGGAAUUGCAUUCGAUACUGUCAGGCUAGAGUAUGGGAGAGGGAAGUGGAAUUUCCGGUGUAGCGGUGAAAUGCGUAGAUAUCGGAAGGAACACCAGUGGCGAAGGCGACUUCCUGGCCCAAUACUGACGCUCAGGUGCGAAAGCGUGGGUAGCGAACAGGAUUAGAUACCCUGGUAGUCCACGCCGUAAACGAUGAGAACUAGAUGUCGGGAGGAUUACCUCUCGGUGUCGCAGCUAACGCGUUAAGUUCUCCGCCUGGGGAGUACGCCGGCAACGGUAAAACUCAAAGGAAUUGACGG